AGAUCUGCAUUUUGUAACAGCCUCCAGGUGAUGCGGUGCUGCCUACCCGUCGACCACAUUGUGCGGAGCAAGGCUUUACACCUAGUCUCUAAGCUAUGAAGGCAGUUUAAGGUUCCUGCAAAGGCAUCCUUGUGGCCACUGCUACUAACGUAAGAGGUUAGAUCAUCAAAGGCAAAAUAGGAAAGUUCUACCACCUGAGGUGGCAGGAAAAAAGAAGUGCCUCAAUUUCCAGUUCCAAACCAGCUCUGACGCUUUGGUCUGAAUUGGGGUUGGUCAGUCUGUUUCCACCACUGACCAUACAGACCAUCUCUAAGGUGGCUGACCCAGGAGUUUUAUUAGACUAGGCCUAGAGGCACUGGCCUAAUUGGACUUCUUUGCUUGGGGCUGCUGAGCAGGGUUUGCAAGUGAAGUGAUGACCAGGCCAGAGGGAACCCCACAGGACCACUCAGACUGGAAGGUAACUGAAUACCAUUCCCUCUCUUCACUCAUUUCUGGGAAUCUGAGGAUGGAUUUCAACUAGGGUAGCUUCAUUGAGG